AUUGAACGCUGGCGGCGUGCCUAACACAUGCAAGUCGAACGGAGCGGCGCACGGGUGCGUACUGUAUAGCUAAUCUGCCCUACACUAGCGGUCAACAGUUGGUAACGACUGCUAAUACUCUAUAGUGUAGGAGGUGGCUACAUUGGAUCAGCUAGGUGGUGAGGUAUUGCUUCUCCAAGGCUAUGACGCAUAACUGGUCUGAGAGGAUGAGCAGAGACACUGGAAGGGAGACACAGUGCCGAAUCCUACGGAAGGGGGCGAUAGGGGAUAGUGCACAAUGGGGGAAGCCCAGAAGGAGCAACGCCGCGUAAGGGAUGGCAAUAUUGGAGGAGUAAGCUCCGUUUGGUAGGGAAGCGGUACCUAACGAAUAAGGACCGGCUAACUCCGUGCCAGCAGCCGCGGUAAUUC
rnacentral:rRNA from 1 species